rnacentral:rRNA from 1 species
CGCUGGCGGCAUGCCUAACACAUGCAAGUCGAACGAGACCUUCGGGUCUAGUGGCGCACGGGUGCGUAACGCGUGGGAACCUGCCUUUAGGUUCGGAAUAACUCAGAGAAAUUUGAGCUAAUACCGGAUAAUGUCUUCGGACCAAAGAUUUAUCGCCUUUAGAUGGGCCCGCGUUGGAUUAGCUAGUUGGUGGGGUAAAGGCCUACCAAGGCGACGAUCCAUAGCUGGUCUGAGAGGAUGAUCAGCCACACUGGGACUGAGACACGGCCCAGACUCCUACGGGAGGCAGCAGUGGGGAAUAUUGGACAAUGGGCGAAAGCCUGAUCCAGCAAUGCCGCGUGAGUGAUGAAGGCCUUAGGGUUGUAAAGCUCUUUACCCGAGAUGAUAAUGACAGUAUCGGGAGAAUAAGCUCCGGCUAACUCCGUG